UUCCUUAUGUCUACAAAGCCUCUAGGAUAUACAUGACAUAACUAGGGUCGGGAUAAACCCCCGCCCACACAUGACUCAUGUACAAUAACAAAGCAUAAGGAACCGACUCAGAAAGCUCCGAAGCAAACUGGAGCUCACCAACAAUAGCUGUAUGACCUGGCUCCUACUUGUGCGGUGUAUGAGCUGAGGUACCUGUGCCUGCAGCAUGAAAUGCAGGUCCCCCGUGAGGGACGUCAGUACGAAAUAUGUACUGAGUAUGUAAAGCUGUAAAUAAUCACAUAUGAUAUAGGAGCUCAAUAGAAAUCAGAAACAAGUGAAUAAGUCGUAAUAGGAGUGGACCACACUUACUAGAACUUGUGACAACCUGUACAUUGUAUUUAUUCAAUCACUUUACCUUCGUUCUUAUCGUCUUUGUAAUCAUUACUGUACUGUACUGUGACCAUUAGGAUGCCUCCAGUACAUAUCAACUGGGAUCGACCCAUGCUAGGCUUAUGCCCCUGGGAUACCACCCAUAAACACAUAAAUAGGGAUCGACCCAUGCUAGGCUUAUGCCCCUGGGAUACCACCCGAUAAGAGAGAACUUCCAUCACUUAGUUCAAUUAAUCUUUGAGAUUGUUAUUUCGGUCGCCACCACAUUUUUGAUACUUUGAAACAAUGAUACAUCAAUAGGAACCAAGUAAUAGACCUUCUAUACAAUAACGAUGUAAUAAAGACUCAUUGGUACAUCAACAAUGUGUUUCAGAAUCAUCAAUAUCACAACAAUGAAAUAAGAGCCUUUUGGUAUAUCAAUGAAACAUUUUGACACUUUAUAGAAUGGAAACAACUUCGUUGGUAACGUAGAACAAUACAUGUUUUUGGACAACCUCGGAAUCUUACUUGAUGGAACAUUGGUGUUUUCAUGCCAAAGAACAUUGUUAGAGUAUGCUUUACAUACCUCGUUGUAGAUUCAGA
rnacentral:lncRNA from 1 species